UACGUAGGGGGCAAGCGUUGUCCGGAUUUACUGGGCGUAAAGAGCGCGUAGGCGGAAGCUUAAGCGGUGCCUGAAAGCCCCCGGCUCAACCGGGGAGGGUGGUGCCGAACUGGGCUUCUUGAGGGCGAUAGAGGAGAGUGGAAUUCCGGGUGUAGCGGUGAAAUGCGUAGAGAUCCGGAGGAACACCAGUGGCGCAGGCGGCUCUCUGGGUCGGCCCUGACGCUGAGGCGCGAAGGCGUGGGGAGCGAACGGG
rnacentral:rRNA from 1 species